rnacentral:rRNA from 1 species
CUACGGGUCGCUCCAGUGGGGAAUAUUGCACAAUGGAGGGAACUCUGAUGCAGCAACGCCGCGUGGAGGAUGACACAUUUCGGUGCGUAAACUCCUUUUAUAUAAGAAGAUAAUGACGGUAUUAUAUGAAUAAGCACCGGCUAACUCCGUGCCAGCAGCCGCGGUAAUACGGGGGGUGCAAGCGUUACUCGGAAUCACUGGGCGUAAAGAGCAUGUAGGCUGGUUUGUAAGUUGGAAGUGAAAUCCUAUGGCUUAACCAUAGAACUGCUUCCAAAACUACUUACCUAGAGUAUGGGAGAGGUAGAUGGAAUUUCUGGUGUAGGGGUAAAAUCCGUAGAGAUCAGAAGGAAUACCGAUUGCGAAGGCGAUCUACUGGAACAUUACUGACGCUCAGAUGCGAAAGCGUGGGGAGCAAACAGGAUUAGAUACCCCCGUAGUC